rnacentral:rRNA from 1 species
CCUACGGGAGGCAGCAGUAAGGAAUAUUGGUCAAUGGGCGCAAGCCUGAACCAGCCAUGCCGCGUGCAGGAAGACGGCCCUAUGGGUUGUAAACUGCUUUUGAACAAGAGAAAACCUCGGUACGUGUACCGAGCUGAUAGUAUUGUUAGAAUAAGCAUCGGCUAACUUCGUGCCAGCAGCCGCGGUAAGACGAAGGAUGCAAGCGUUAUCCGGAUUCAUUGGGUUUAAAGGGUGCGUAGGCGGCCUGAUAAGUCAGUGGUGAAAUCUCUCAGCUUAACUGAGAAACUGCCAUUGAUACUGUCGGGCUUGAGUACAGAUGAUGUGGGCGGAAUAUGACAUGUAGUGGUGAAAUACUUAGAUAUGUCAUAGAACACCGAUUGCGAAGGCAGCUCACAAAACUGUAACUGACGCUGAGGCACGAAAGUGCGGGGAUCAAACAGGAUUAGAUACCCUGGUAGUCCGCACCGUAAACGAUGAUUACUCGUUGUUGGCAAUAUGACCGUCAGCGACCAAGCGAAAGCGAUAAGAAUCCACCUGGGGAGUACGCCGGCAACGGUGAAACUUAAAUGAAUUGACGG